UGGGGAAUAUUGGACAAUGGGCGAAAGCCUGAUCCAGCAAUACCGCGUGUGUGACGAAGGCCUUCGGGUUGUAAAGCACUUUCAGUAGGGAAGAAAUGAACAAAAUUAAUACCUUUGUUCUAUGACGUUAUCUACAGAAGAAGCACCGGCUAACUCUGUGCCAGCAGCCGCGGUAAGACAGAGGGUGCGAGCGUUAAUCGGAAUUAUUGGGCGUAAAGCGUGCGUAGGCGGUUGAUUAAGUCAGAUGUGAAAGCCCCGAGCUUAACUUGGGAACUGCAUUUGAUACUGAUCAUCUAGAGUAUGGUAGAGGGUAGUGGAAUUUCCGGUGUAGCGGUGAAAUGCAUAGAUACCGGAAGGAACAUCAGUGGCGAAGGCGGCUACCUGGACCAAUACUGACGCUGAGGUACGAAAGCGUGGGUAGCAAACAGG
rnacentral:rRNA from 1 species